rfam:Trichobilharzia regenti genome assembly, scaffold: TRE_scaffold0002421
AUUCAGCUGACGAGUCCCAGAUAGGGCGAAAUGCUCAUCCUGGAU